UAAGCUCCAGCCAAUGAUUUACAGUCACCCUAAAAAUCCCUUCCUACUCUCCAAGGUUUAUAUAGCUCUUGUUCACCCCAAAUAAAGAGCACAAGCAGUUUCACUUAAUAUCAUCUAAAAGAGCUGUAACAUUGAAAUCCUCAGAAAAGACACCCCCACUCCCACCCAACUCCCCAGCUCUCACUGCUUGAACCAAGAUCUGCCUGAACUCCAAGAAAAGAAGCAGAACUCGGAACCAUAGUCAUCUUUAAAGAUCUUCUUCCCUGACCUCCAACCCCAGACAGAGACUCUCUGUGUCCCUGGUUGUCCUGGAACUCUAUAGACCAGACUGGCCUCAAACUCAGAGACCUACCUGCCUCUGCCUUCGAGUGCUGGAAUUAAAGGCGUGGUGGCGCAUGCCUUUAAUCCCAGCACUCGGGAGGCAGAGGCAGGUGGAUUUCUGAGUUCGAGGCCAGCCUGGUCUACAAAGUGAGGUCCAGGANNNN
ensembl:lincRNA Gm12088 predicted gene 12088